rnacentral:rRNA from 1 species
AUUGAACGCUGGCGGCAGGCUUAACACAUGCAAGUCGAGCGGGGGAAGGUAGCUUGCUACCGGACCUAGCGGCGGACGGGUGAGUAAUGCUUAGGAAUCUGCCUAUUAGUGGGGGACAACAUCUCGAAAGGGAUGCUAAUACCGCAUACGUCCUACGGGAGAAAGCAGGGGAUCUUCGGACCUUGCGCUAAGAGAUGAGCCUAGGUCGUAUUAGCUAGUUGGUGGGGUAAAGGCCUACCAAGGCGACGAUCUGUAGCGGGUCUGAGAGGAUGGUCCGCGACACUGGGACGGAGACACGGCCCAGACUCCUAUGGGGGGCAGCAGUGGGGAAUAUUGGACAAUGGGGGGGACCCUGAUCCAGCCAUGCCGCGUGUGUGAAGAAGGCCUUAUGGUUGUAAAGCACUUUAAGCGAGGAGGAGGCUACUUUAGUUAAUACCUAGAGAUAGUGGACGUUACUCGCAGAAUAAGCACCGGCUAACUCUGUGCCAGCAGCCGCCGUAAGAC